AUUGAACGCUGGCGGCAUGCCUUACACAUGCAAGUCGAACGGUAACGGGCCUUCGGGUGCCGACGAGUGGCGAACGGGUGAGUAAUAUAUCGGAACGUGCCCAGUAGUGGGGGAUAGCCCGGCGAAAGCCGGAUUAAUACCGCAUACGACCUGAGGGUGAAAGCGGGGGAUCGCAAGACCUCGCGCUAUUGGAGCGGCCGAUAUCAGAUGAGCUAGUUGGUGGGGUAAAGGCCUACCAAGGCAACGAUCUGUAGUUGGUCUGAGAGGACGACCAGCCACACUGGGACUGAGACACGGCCCAGACUCCUACGGGAGGCAGCAGUGGGGAAUUUUGGACAAUGGGCGCAAGCCUGAUCCAGCAAUGCCGCGUGCAGGAAGAAGGCCUUCGGGUUGUAAACUGCUUUUGUCAGGGAAGAAAUCUUCUGGGUUAAUACCUCGGGAGGAUGACGGUACCUGAAGAAUAAGCACCGGCUAACUACGUGCCAGCCGCCGCCGUAACAC
rnacentral:rRNA from 1 species